CGGGGUGAGUAACGCGUGAGUAACCUGCCUGUAAGAGGGGGAUAACACAGAGAAAUCUGUGCUAAUACCGCAUAUUGAAGUUUUUCCGCAUGGGGAAGCUUUGAAAGAUUUAUCGCUUACAGAUGGACUCGCGUCUGAUUAGAUAGUAGGCGGGGUAACGGCCCACCUAGUCGACGAUCAGUAGCCGAACUGAGAGGUUGAUCGGCCACAUUGGGACUGAGACACGGCCCAGACUCCUACGGGAGGCAGCAG
rnacentral:rRNA from 1 species